UGGCUCGGUUGGUAGAGCAUGGUGUUUGCAACGCCAGGGUUGUGGGUUCGAUUCCCAC
rfam:Salmo salar isolate Sally breed double haploid chromosome ssa06, whole genome shotgun sequence.